rnacentral:rRNA from 1 species
UACGGAGGGGGCUAGCGUUGUCCGGAAUCAUUGGGCGUAAAGCGCGUGUAGGCGGUCCGGUAAGUCCGCUGUGAAAGUCGGGGGCUCAACCCUCGGAUGCCGGUGGAUACUGUCGGGCUUGAGUACGGAAGAGGCGAGUGGAAUUCCUGGUGUAGCGGUGAAAUGCGCAGAUAUCAGGAGGAACACCAAUUGCGAAGGCAGCUCGCUGGGACGUUACUGACGCUGAGACGCGAAAGCGUGGGGAGCAAACAGG